UACGGAGGGUGCGAGCGUUGUCCGGAGUUACUGGGCGUAAAGGGCGUGUAGGUGGUUUCGUAAGUCUGGCGUGAAAUUUCUCGGCUUAACCGAGGCAGGUCGUCGGAUACUGCGGAACUUGAGGACGGUAGAGGCGUGUGGAAUUCCGGGUGUAGUGGUGAAAUGCGUAGAGAUCCGGAGGAACACCAGUGGCGAAGGCGACACGCUGGGCCGUACCUGACACUGAUGCGCGACAGCAUGGGGAGCAAACAGG
rnacentral:rRNA from 1 species